UGUCUACUCGUCCUUGAGAGCGUCAGC
rnacentral:piRNA from 1 species